GUGGUUGUGGCUGAGUGGUUAAGGCGAUGGGCUAGAAAUCCAUUGGUGUCUUCCCUGUGCAGGUUCGAAUCCUGCCAGCUACG